UACGUAGGGUGCAAGCGUUGUCCGGAAUUAUUGGGCGUAAAGAGCUCGUAGGCGGUCUGUCGCGUCGGCUGUGAAAACUCGGGGCUUAACCCCGAGCCUGCAGUGGAUACGGGCAGACUAGAGGUAGGUAGGGGAGAAUGGAAUUCCCGGUGUAGCGGUGAAAUGCGCAGAUAUCGGGAGGAACACCGGUGGCGAAGGCGGUUCUCUGGGCCUUACCUGACGCUGAGGAGCGAAAGCGUGGGGAGCGAACAGG
rnacentral:rRNA from 1 species